rnacentral:rRNA from 1 species
AUUGAACGCUGGCGGCAGGCCUAACACAUGCAAGUCGAGCGAGCGGCGGACGGGUGAGUAAUGUAUGGGGACUGCCUGAUCGAGGGGGAUAACUACUGGAAACGGUGGCUAAUACCGCAUACUAUCGGAUAACCCAUAUGGGAUUAGCUAGUAGGUGGGGUAAAGGCGCACCUAGGCGAUGAUCUCUAGCUGGCCUGAGAGGAUGAGCGUCCACACGUGAACUGAGACACGGCCCAGACUCCUACGGAGGCAGCAGUGGGGAAUAUUGCACAAUGGGCGCAAGCCUGAUGCAGCCAUGCCGCGUGUAGGAAGAAGGCCUUAGGGUUGUAAAGUACUUUCAGCGGAGAGGCGGUACCCGCAGAGGAAGCACCGGCUAACUCCGUGCCAGCAGCCGCGGUAAUUC